GAAAAGGAAGCUCAACCACUUCGCUGACGUGUUUGCCUCGUCGCCUCGCUUUGCAGCUCUUUUCGGCGUCCUCAUUUUCCGGACUCUUCAUCUGAGCGGCGCCCUCGUGAUUCUCACUCACACCCAUCCUUCUGCGCAUAGCUUGUACGUGUUUGCACGCCUGUGGCGGCCACCGUAGAUCCUCUUCGAAUACUCGCGCACUCUUCUUCGCCUCUCUGCGCAGAUUCGCUCACAUGGUGCUCCUGCGCCUCCGCGUCGCCGUGGUCGGUGAGCCGACUUCCGGCAAAACGGCAUUUGUUCAGAUGGUGCAUAGCAACGGUACGGUAUUCCCCAAGAACUAUCUCAUGACAAUGGGGUGCGACUUUGUCGUAAAAGAGUUUGCGCUGGACGACGACAACACGGUCGAGGUGUCGCUCCUGGACGUGGCGGGGCAGCGGCUGUAUGAUCGCAUGACAUCUCACUAUCUAGAGAGCGUGUCUGCCUUUAUUCUCGUGUAUGACGUGUCAAACAAGGCAACGUUCGAGUCGUGUCGAAAGUGGGUGACCAAGGCGCGGACUGCGAAGAAGGACAUGAUCGGCUUCCUUGUGGGGAACAAGAUGGACCUCGCUGACAAGGCCGAGGUCACGGACAACCAAGCGGAGGUUUUUGCACGCGCUAAUCAACUUACCUUUUUCAAGUGCUCUGCACUGCGCGGCACGGGCACGGUAGAGCCCGUAGAGAGGCUCUCGCGCAUGUUCCUGGAGGAGUAUCAGAAGAGACUGGCUCAGCUGUCACAGCUCAGCGCAAGCAAGUGACGGGCAGGCACCGCCUUCAGUGCAUUGCUACACACACACACACACUACCUCAUCGAGCCUUGCUUUUCCACUGCGAUUGGAAUUGGUAGGGUUGACAAGAGAGGUUUGUGCGGCGGCCAGCACUGCGGCGAGAGCCUACCACGCAUCUAGAUUCCCGCUUCUCGCUGAGGCCUUUCCCUGCAGGCAUCAAUCUCUCUUCUUCCUCGUGUGUGAGGAUGCCGAUGUGCAAUACUGUAGACCGUUGAACACUACCCGCGAAAGGUGGGGAGAAG
rnacentral:misc_RNA from 1 species